rnacentral:antisense_RNA from 1 species
ACUGACCCCAGUUCUGGCCCCCGCUAGAGCAAGACUUCAGCGUUCCAUGUCUGCUGUGCUGUGGAACCCAGAGUGCUCUUGCCUGGAUGGCUGAGAAUCCCUUGGACCCUGGAAGCACCUACUCCAUGAUGGCCCGCAGGAGGACCAAACUGGAGACAGUCCUGGCUCUGAGGAAACAAGAAGGAAGGAGGGUGAAAGGAAGGUCCACCUGCACACAAAGGAAAGAUGAAAAAGAAUCACCUACCAUGGGACCUGGCAAAGUACUUCAGAACUUUUAUUCCUUCCAGAAGCAGUGUAUCACAUAGAUUGAAUCAAGAAGUGACAUUAAGGCCAGCGCGGUGGCUCACGCCUGUAAUCCCACCACUUUGGGAGGCCGAGGCGGGCAGAUCACGAGAUCAGGAGAUCAAGACCAUCCUGGCUAACAUGGUGAAACCCCAUGUCUACUAAAAAUAGAAAAAAUUAGCCGGGCAUGGUGGCGGGCGCCUGUAGUCCCAGCUACUCGGGAGGCUGAGGCAGGAGAAUGGCGUGAACCUGGGAGAUGAAGCCUGCAGUGAGCCAAGAUCAUGCCACCGUACUCCUGUACUCCAGCCU